UACGAAGGGGGCUAGCGUUGUUCGGAAUUACUGGGCGUAAAGCGCACGUAGGUGGCGACGUAAGUCGGGUGUGAAAGCCCCGGGCUCAACCUGGGAAUUGCAUUCGAGACUGCAUUGCUGGAGUACGGAAGAGGAAGGCGGAAUUCCCGGUGUAGCGGUGAAAUGCGUAGAUAUCGGGAGGAACAUCAGUGGCGAAGGCGGCCUUCUGGUCCAGUACUGACACUCAAGUGCGAAAGCGUGGGGAGCAAACAGG
rnacentral:rRNA from 1 species